UCCUACGGGAGGCAGCAGUGGGGAAUAUUGCACAAUGGGCGCAAGCCUGAUGCAGCAACGCCGCGUGAGGGACGAAGGCCUUCGGGUUGUAAACCUCUUUUAGUAGGGAAGAAGCGACUGGGUUUUCCUGGGAGUGACGGUACCUGCAGAAAAAGCACCGGCUAACUACGUGCCAGCAGCCGCGGUAAUACGUAGGGUGCAAGCGUUGUCCGGAAUUAUUGGGCGUAAAGAGCUCGUAGGCGGUUUGUCGCGUCUGCUGUGAAAACCCGAGGCUCAACCUCGGGCCUGCAGUGGGUACGGGCAGACUAGAGUGCGGUAGGGGAGAUUGGAAUUCCUGGUGUAGCGGUGGAAUGCGCAGAUAUCAGGAGGAACACCAAUGGCGAAGGCAGAUCUCUGGGCCGUAACUGACGCUGAGGAGCGAAAGCAUGGGGAGCGAACAGGAUUAGAUACCCUGGUAGUCCAUGCCGUAAACGUUGGGAACUAGAUGUGGGGACCAUUCCACGGUCUCCGUGUCGCAGCUAACGCAUUAAGUUCCCCGCCUGGGGAGUACGGCCGCAAGGCUAAAACUCAAAGGAAUUGACGGGGGCCCGCACAAGCGGCGGAGCAUGCGGACUAAUUCGAUGCAACGCGAAGAACCUUACCAAGGCUUGACAUAUACCGGAAACGGCUGGAAACAGUCGCCCCGCAGGUCGGUAUACAGGUGGUGCAUGGUUGUCGUCAGCUCGUGUCGUGAGAUGUUGGGUUAAGUCCCGCAACGAGCGCAACCCUCGUCCUAUGUUGCCAGCACGUAAUGGUGGGAACUCAUGGGAUACUGCCGGGGUCAACUCGGAGGAAGGUGGGGAUGACGUCAAAUCAUCAUGCCCCUUAUGUCUUGGGCUUCACGCAUGCUACAAUGGCCGGUACAAAGGGCUGCGAUACCGCAAGGUGGAGCGAAUCCCAAAAAGCCGGUCUCAGUUCGGAUUGAGGUCUGCAACUCGACCUCAUGAAGUGGGAGUCGCUAGUAAUCGCAGAUCAGCAACGCUGCGGUGAAUACGUUCCCGGGCCUUGUACACACCGC
rnacentral:rRNA from 1 species